GUAAACGGCGGCCGUAACUAUAACGGUCCUAAGGUAGCGAAAUUCCUUGUCGGGUAAGUUCCGACCCGCACGAAAGGCGUAAUGAUUUGAGCGCUGUCUCAACAAUGCACCCGGUGAAAUUGAAAUACCAGUGAAGAUGCUGGUUACCUGCGCCAGGACGGAAAGACCCCAUGGAGCUUUACUCCAGUUUGAUACUGGGAUUCGGUGUCGCAUGUACAGGAUAGGUGGGAGGCUAAGAAUCAAGGACGCCAGUCUUUGAGGAGCCGAUGUUGGGAUACCACCCUUGCGAUAUUGGGUUUCUAACCUGCAGCCAUUACCUGGCUGGGGGACAAUGUCAGGCGGGGAGUUUGACUGGGGCGGUCGCCUCCGAAAGUGUAUCGGAGGCGCUCAAAGGUUCCCUCAGAAUGGACGGAAACCAUUCGAAGAGUGCAAAGGCAUAAGGGAGCUUGACUGCGAGACCGACGGGUCGAGCAGGUAGGAAACUAGGACUUAGUGAUCCGGUGGUAUAAAGUGGGAUUGCCAUCGCUCAACGGAUAAAAGCUACCCUGGGGAUAACAGGCUUAUCACUCCCAAGAGUUCACAUCGACGGAGUGGUUUGGCACCUCGAUGUCGGCUCAUCGCAUCCUGGGGCUGUAGUAGGUCCCAAGGGUUGGGCUGUUCGCCCAUUAAAGCGGUACGCGAGCUGGGUUCAGAACGUCGUGAGACAGUUCGGUCCCUAUCUGUCGUGGGCGCAGGAAAUUUGAGGAGAGCUGUCCUUAGUACGAGAGGACCGGGAUGGACGCACCGCUGGUGUACCAGUUGUUCCGCCAGGAGCACCGCUGGGUAGCCAAGUGCGGAAGGGAUAAGCGCUGAAAGCAUCUAAGCGCGAAGCCCCCUCCAAGAUGAGAUUUCCCAGUACGUAAGACCCCUGGAAGACGACCAGGUUGAUAGGCUCGAGGUGGAAGCGCAGCAAUG
rnacentral:rRNA from 1 species